CCUGAACCACAGGGCCCAGCCUUGGCUUGUGGUUCUUUUACUAAAUAUGGAAUAGCGAUAAAGCUUAUGUAUCAUAUUUGUAAAAGAAAGCUAGGCACAUGAAGCAGAAUUAAUUCAUGAGGGAAAAUAUUUAUUUUACUCUCAAGUCUCCCGAAAGUUAUUGUAUUCAUUUAAACUCAAUUUCUAAUUUUUUUAGUUACCCAAAUACUAUUGCAUUAAAUGCAUUAAAGAGAGCAUUGUACCUAGCAGAUAUGUGAGAAACAGUUUGACUUUUUAACCACUAAAAAAUGUCCAAAUAUCAGAAUUUAUUUUAUUUUAAAUUUCAAAAAAAUCCUUAUUUUAUAUGAUAAAAAUCAAGUUGAUUUGUAAGUCAUAUAUAUCAGCUUAUUAUCAAGAACUAUUGCUAUGUAAAAGAACUUAGGACUGUGUAAUUAGAACUAUGUAAUAGAAAUAUUUACAGAAGACUAUAUCUGCCAACAUGAGAUACUCUACCACCAUAACUUAUAUCAAUGACUCUUGUUCUAUCAUCGUGUGCAUUAUAAAUAGUGCAAAAUUUCAAGAAAUUUCCAUUUUGAGAUAUAAGAAAUCAAUAUGCUGGGAAAACUAAUAUCAAACUCUGAAGUAGAUAUAUUUCAUUUUAUAUAUAUUUUAAAUGACCUUUAACUAAAGGUUAAAUUGGAUUGACACACUGAAGAUAAAUUUUUUUAUUAUUAUCAUCAUUAAAUUAUUAUUUUGUGACUAUUACUAUUCAACUAACACUACAUCUGAUAAUAUAAUGAUAAACACAUUCCUUUUUUAUAUUAACUAGCAUUUUUUUCGAGUUUCUUAAAGCUUUGUUUGCAACUCUGGAUGAUUUAUGUGGGACAUGAUAAAACCAAUCUCCACACAGGCUAAUUUGAGACCUGGCAUCAUUGUCUCUCUCUGAACAAUCUGGAAGCUUUUUUAUGGUAGUGAAUUGCUCAUUUGGGGUGCGAGGAUUGAAGCAGGCAAGUGUCUGGGUCAUUAUGUGCUCAGCCAUGUCUUACAUAGGUGUUUGGAUUUGUAUAGCACUGGUUAAUCUGUAAUGUGUUUUAAUUUAGAGACAUAAAUUCUGGCCAGAAUUCUAUGCUUUAAUUAAAUAGUGUCAAGGGAUUGAUCGCAGCAUAUUGAUCCAUAACUGAACAUUUUAUCCAUGAAGUCACAGGUCCAGUGAGGUAAGUUACAUUUUUAAUUCCAUUCUGAUUAUAGUCUAUUAUCAGGACAAUGUAUAAUUUGCAUGUUUUUCAUUUGAGAGUAAUGAUACAUAGCCAUUGAUAAGCCAUGUUCCUCUUCCUUUCACCCCAUUAAGCUACAAGUUUGGAUAAACAAGUGUACUUAAUUUCAAUUUCAUAUAUUGUUUGAUGGCACCCCUGAGAAUAAAGAGGCAGGUUUCAUAAGACAAUGGGCUAACUUAAAAUCAGUUUUUGGAUACUGUUUCAUACAAACUGAAUACACUUAACUAGAAAAUGAUAUCUCUACUUUUUCCUUUCAAAGAUAAUGACACUCCUUUUUUCCCCCUCAGUCAUCAUUGCCUAGAAUACCCUACUUCAAACAAUGAAACUCACUUUCAAUCUAUCAUCAUCUUUCACUCUUCAGUGAAACCCCAUGUAGCUUCCAGAUGUGGUUUCAGGAUUUCUCUAUAUUGUUGGAGAGAACAAGAACCUGAGACCUGCCGAACAGCAGGUGCCAAAGAUGCUGCUGUAACACCACAGCCCUCCCAUCUUCCAUCCUCCACUGGCGCUGAGUGGCAGUCCCAUGUGACAGGAAGUGGAGGCAGAGCUGGGCCAGCCCAGGAGCCACGUGCUGGAGCCAGAUACUCUGUUUUUCUACAAAUGGAAAGUUUGUGGCAUCCUUGACUCAAGCAAAUUUUUCAGCACCAUUUUUCAAGAGCGUGUGCUCACUUCACCUCUCUGUAUCGUGUUUUGGUAAGUCUCACAAUAUUCCAAACUUUUCCAUUGUUAUUGUACCUGUUAUAGUGAUCUGUGAUAAGGUAACUUUUAUGCUACUAUUGUAAUAUUUGAGGGCACCAUAAACCAAACCCAUAUAAGACAUAUAAGACAUAUCUAUUAAGUAAACUUCAUAGAUAAAUGUUUUGUGUGUUCUGACUGCUCCACUAA